rfam:Myotis davidii contig63909, whole genome shotgun sequence.
GGCAGUUCUCGGGUGACACAUCCCAGAAGCGCGCUCCCUCCUCUCUGGUUCUGGGUCCGUCACCUGAGAACUGCC